AUGAAUGUUCUUUCCACACCGCAUUUGCGACAAUGUUUUGACGCAAACACGUAUGCGUGUUGAAAAUGCGCGGAUGUGAUGGAAGAACAAUAAGUGGACAGAAUCAGGUGGUGGGAGCGAAAACGUUGUCAUCUGCCGGCACUGUGGACACGACCUCUUCGACCCGCAGUACAUUUUCACCCUUGCAAGUCCUGGAUCAAUCUGGACCAAAAACAACACACUGAUUGGCUCGGUGCGCCCGCACGUGCAGCUGCUCCGGAACCCGCACGGCUACGAGUUCGAGGUGGUGACGGUGCGCCGGAGCGUCUGCUCGCAGCAGGGCGACUGGCAUUCGUCGCAUUCGUGGUUCCCUGGAUACAACUGGAAGAUUUGCGUGUGUCCUAAAUGCGGUACACACAUUGGAUGGAUUUUUAAGAAAAUUCAGUCUGCGAGCAAAACGGACUCCGAAGAUUCGUUUUUCGGGCUCAUACUAGACAAGAUAUUGGAGGAAUCAACGGUCAGCCAGCUACUGCUGACGCCCAAGUCGUACCGCGUGUAGCGCCAUGUCGGC
rnacentral:misc_RNA from 1 species